rnacentral:sRNA from 20 species
AACGAGAAAUGCCGCGAGUGUGAAGCUGUUGCGAGUAUGCGGGUCAAUCGUCGCAACAGCUUC